AUACGUAGGGUGCGAGCGUUGUCCGGAAUUACUGGGCGUAAAGAGCUCGUAGGUGGUUUGUCGCGUCGUCUGUGAAAUUCCGGGGCUUAACUCCGGGCGUGCAGGCGAUACGGGCAUAACUUGAGUACUGUAGGGGAGACUGGAAUUCCUGGUGUAGCGGUGAAAUGCGCAGAUAUCAGGAGGAACACCGGUGGCGAAGGCGGUUCUCUGGGCAGUAACUGACGCUGAGGAGCGAAAGCAGGGGUAGCGAACAGGAUUAGAUACCCUGGUAGUCCAUGCCGUAAACGGUGGGCGCUAGGUGUAGGGGUCUUCCACGACUUCUGUGCCGUAGCUAACGCAUUAAGCGCCCCGCCUGGGGGGUACGGCCGCAAGGCUAGAACUCAAAGGAAUUGGCGGGG
rnacentral:rRNA from 1 species